UCGUCGAAGGUGGAAUCAAUAACUGGGGUGAAGUCGUAACAAGGUAGCCGUAUCGGAAGGUGCGGCUGGAUCACCUCCUUUCUAAGGAGA
rnacentral:rRNA from 1 species